AGCCACUCUUGACCCGUUCGAGUUCUUCUUCAGCUGUUUUUAAC
rnacentral:sRNA from 1 species